rnacentral:rRNA from 1 species
AACCAACAGGGAUUGCCCCAGUAACGGCGAGUGAAGCGGCAACAGCUCAAAUUUGAAAUCUGGCCUCCUCCGGGGGCCCGAGUUGUAAUUUGCAGAGGAUGCUUCUGGCGCGGCGCCUUCCGAGUUCCCUGGAACGGGACGCCAUAGAGGGUGAGAGCCCCGUCUGGUUGGACGCCUAGCCUCUGUGAAGCACCUUCGACGAGUCGAGUAGUUUGGGAAUGCUGCUCAAAAUGGGAGGUAUAUGUCUUCUAAAGCUAAAUACCGGCCAGAGACCGAUAGCGCACAAGUAGAGUGAUCGAAAGAUGAAAAGCACUUUGAAAAGAGGGUUAAACAGUACGUGAAAUUGUUGAAAGGGAAGCGCUCAUGACCAGACUUGGGCCCCGCGCAUCACCCGGCGUUCUCGCCGGGGCACUUCGCAGGGCCCAGGCCAGCAUCAGUUCGUGGCGGGGGACAAAGGCUUCGGGAACGUGGCUCCCUCGGGAGUGUUAUAGCCCGCUGCGCRAUGCCCUGCCGCGGACUGAGGUUCGCGCUUCCGCAAGGAUGCUGGCGUAAUGGUCAUCAGCGAC